UUUUUUGUAUACUAGCCACUUUUCUUUGUGUUUCUUCCUGUCUCCUUGCUGAACAUCUUAUUCUUUCUUCCUAACUUCAAGCUCUUUUGCCCAGUCCUAUUAGCUUUCCAUCUCCACAAAUUGGUGGCCUUGCUCUUCAAAAAGACUUAUCAACUCUUCCAAGUCUUUGCAAGCCCCUUGUCUUCUAACUGUUGAUUUAUCACUACAGUUCUAGAAUUUUUGAUUUUAGUCAACGUAGACUCUCACAAUGAAUCAUAUAUAACAUUAAGCAGGUUAGACUGAUGCUCAUUAAACUACAUUUUAGAAUUACAAACCACAAAUUCCUCUUACAGGUUUCUAGGUCUGUGAUUUAAUGAAGCAAUGGUAUUUUCUGCUUUCUUCAAGACAGUACUAUGGCAUCAUAUUUGUACUAGUUUUGGGGCAAGUGUCAGUAGUCUAGACUUGCUUAAUUUCUCUUUGCUACCUCAUGUUGCUCUUCUGUGUUGACUUCACAUAUCUGGUAUGUCAUGAGAUGAUUUAACUAGAGAUCAUGAAAUACUGCUUAAGCAGAAGAGGUGAUUUGAGGUUAUGCAAGCAACCUUGAUUUUUUUUUUUCCUGUUUUCUAACUUGUGAAACUUUUUCCUUACAAUUUUAUAAACAUUACUUUAAUGUAAUUUUUGCCUAAUAUAUAUAUGUUAUAGCUAAAUCUAUCUAUUUAAUAAGCAGUUUGAAAUAAUAUAUGUAGAUUCUUCUUUAUAUUCUUUUCAGUAAGUCAGUAGAGUUAAUUAACUUGAUAUGGAUCUUUUCCAGUUUGUAAGCAUUUACCAAAGAAUGGAUUUAGCAGUAUAUUUAUAUGGUACUCAGGAUGCCCUCUGUUGCAUGGUGGAUGGUUGCUCUUCAAACUGUUGUGUGAUUAGGAAUGUCAAUGCAGAGGGCAGAUAUGCUGAAAUCAGGAAAGAUAUCUAAGAAGACAUUUGAGAGCUCCUCUACUUGUGGAACAAAACUACAAGAGAAGCCUAUUUAAUUCUAUCUGAUUCUCUGAAACCAGUAUGAAGCUAUGAUUCAAGUUAAUGUUGUUAACAUCAUCCCUAUCUGAUUUGAGGUAAUCAAUUUAAUCUUUUUUUUUUUUUUUCCAGUGAGUUCCUCUGAUAAACUUCAGUCUUUAAGUAUAAAAGUAAUUUGCAAAAUCUUUUAGGUUUUCUAUUAGCCAUCAUAAUUAUAUUUAUUAAAUAGAUUCUUAUAUCUGAAUAUUUUCUCUUAAAUUCAACACCUCUUAGAAGCUGGAGACGGGGUUAAUAGAAACAACCUUAAAAGACUAAGGUUCUCAGUCACGUUUCUUAAGUAGUAGGUGGCAAAAAGUACAUUAGAUAAUAUUAUAUCAUUAUCCUCUGUGGAUGUUUCUAAUGGGAUUUCUUACUGACCUCUUUUAGUGCUAUUAGACACAUCAGCAAAAAACUGGAAGAAAAUAUAUGGACUUAUUACUGAGAAAAUGUACAAAUGGCAGCACAGCUGAUUGAACAGUAAAUAAUUAUGAAGGUAGCUCAUAUAUAUAUUUAUAUAUAUAGGUUUAAUUUGGUUUCUAUGGUGCUUCUUUUAGGGGGGAAAAAAAAAAAAGAAAAGCUCAGGUUUUAAAAAGGCCAAAUGCAAGAUUACAAGAUUGAAUGAAUGUAGGGCAAAUAUGAGAUGAUGUCCUGGAAACACACCAC
ensembl:lncRNA